rnacentral:lncRNA from 1 species
GCAGUAGCAGGAGAUUUAGAAAGCAGAAUUGCAACAGAAACUCUUGCUGCUGCUAUUGGUUCUGGCAAGCAAGGUCCUGAAACAGGUUAUUGGAAGUUCCUGGUGAUGGCAGCCAUUCUCUGAUUUCUUGCAUUGAGCUUCCAGUUCUCAUGUGUGACAGGCAGUUGGGAAAGCAGCUGGUGGGGAAUGCAGCAGCUUCUUGACAACCGAAUCACAGCUAGUAUGAUGUAUCCUUGAACUAAACAGUCCAGUGGUCAUCCCCUGACUGCUGCUGCCCCAGCUCAUCCAAUCAUUUGGUGGGCCUCAUGCAGUAAGUUGAAGGUUGUAAGAGCAAAGAUAGAAGGCCUUCCCAAAGAAUGAGGACUUCUGCCUGAGGAUAGCAAAUACCAAUUCUGCAUGGGUUUCCUGGCUUCAGACUCAAGAAUGCAAUAUCAACUCUUACUGGAAUUUCUAUCCUACCAGCUUGCCCUGCAAAUUUCAGACUUGCCAGCCCUUGCAAUUGUAACCAAGGUUCCACGCUGACUUCAUGAAAUAAAUUAGUAAGCUUUCCUUAAUAUUUACACAUGGAAACAUAUGUAUAAAAUUAUCUCUCUAAAAAUUUUUGGUAGGAUUCUUAUCUGAUGUUACUGAAACUAAGACUUUUUUCUUUUGGGUGAGAGUAGUUAACAUGUUUGAUGAAAUUUUCAGUCUUUAAUGUUUAUUGGUUUAUUCAGGUUUUGUAUUCACAUUUGAGCCAGUUUUAAUAUUUUAUAUAUUUGGGGGAAAUUU